GACGUAGGUGGCGAACGUUUAUCCGGAAUUAUUGGGCGUAAAGGGUGCGUAGGUGGCCUGACAAGUUAUCAGUGGCAAAUCGAGGCUCAACCUCGUGGAAACUGGUAAUACUGUCCGGCUUGAGUGCAGGAGAGGUUAACGGAACUCUAUGUGGAGGGGUAAAAUCCAUAGAUAUAUAGAAUGAACAUCAAUAAAAGGCGAAGGCAGUUAACUAUUCUGUUACUGACACUGAGGCACGAAAGCGUGGGGAGCAAAACGG
rnacentral:rRNA from 1 species